UAACCAUGGUGGGGACAUUCAAUUUGGUAACUCUUGAAUCUCUCCCAUGCUUUUCUGAAUGACUCCCGUGGACCUUGACAAAAUGUGGAAAUUUUCUUCCUUACAUC
rfam:Brassica rapa chromosome A7, whole genome shotgun sequence.